rnacentral:rRNA from 1 species
CCUACGGGGCGCAGCAGUGAGGAAUAUUGGUCAAUGUGCUCGAGCCUGAACCAGCCAAGUAUCGUGAAGGAUGACUGCCCUACGGGUUGUAAACUUCUUUUAUAAAGGAAUAAAGUGAGGCACGUGUGCCUUUUUGUAUGUACUUUAUGAAUAAGGAUCGGCUAACUCCUUGCCAGCAGCCGCGGUAAUACGGAGGAUCCGAGUGUUAUCCGGAUUUAUUGGGUUUAAAGGGAGCGUAGAUGGGUUGUUAAGUCAGUUGUGAAAGUUUGCGGCUCAACCGUAAAAUUGCAAUUGAUACUGGCAGCCUUGAGUACAGUUGAGGUAGGCGGAAUUCGUGGUGUAGCGGUGAAAUGCUUAGAUAUCACGAAGAACUCCGAUUGCGAAGGCAGCUUACUAAACUGCCACUGACAUUGAUGCUCGAAAGUGUGGGUAUCAAACAGGAUUAGAUACCCGAGUAGUC